CUCAGCUCACACUUCCAGGAAAAAGCUCUGGAAAGAUCUGAGUGAAAUACAAAUGAUCCCAUGCUAGCUUAACCUCUCUUUUAAACAGAGCACGUGUCCUCAGGUGGACAGGUCGGCACCAGGCCAGAUAUGUCAUGAAAAGAAAACAGAAAUUGGAUAAUGAGGGACCCACCCCAUAUGUGUGGGAAGUAUAUGUUGACAGUUCAGCACUGCUGUUUCCGUUUUUUUUGACUGUGGUGAACAUAAGGAGUUCUGGAUGAUUUCAAGCCUUCUAUUCUUGGUAACAAUGAACAGAGGUCCCUCCACACACUGCAAGACAUGGAUGUACAGGGAUUCAUUUGGUGUACAGGGAUUAGCUUGGACAGUUUCAACAGAUUUUUAGGUAAGUUUGUGCCAUGAACCUGACUCAGUUUCAUUACACAUUUCUCUGCAGGUUUCCUUCUGCAUUUCAUUUUCACAGGUCACUCAUAACAGCCACUUGAACACAAAUAAUGAAGACAGAAGAUGGCUAUAGACUAAGCACAUCCAUUGCAAAAAUUCAUCUGCCUCACAGUACAGGAGAUCAAAAAAUCAGCUAGACUAGUAAUGGGACAAAACAGGACCAGAGUACCCAUGACUGCAAGGGGCCACUUUUAAAAGGCCACUAUAGAAGUGAUAUGCGAUGUUUCAAGAGCAACGUACCCCAGUGACACCAUGUCCCAUUUCUGUGGUAGCAGAUUUUUCCCCUCUGCAAUAUUCCGGUUCCUUGCACCUGAGUUGUUUGUCUUCACCUCUCAGCCCUGUGAGCAGAAGGAGAUGAGGGGAAGGUUCCCUCAUUCCUGCCCCACCGUUACUGUCUCUGCAUCACUGAGCACCCAGAGGCUUUGCAGGGCUCUUUAUAGCCCCCUCUGCAUCCCACGGCUCACAGCGUACGUAUAACAGGAGAGAGGGUGGCAGGGCCUGUGGGGGCCCAGCUUCAGGUGCUGCCAGCUGCUGGCUGAGGGCAGCAGACAGACCAGGCACCUUCCCUAGGGACUGGGAGUGUCCCCAAGGGUGUCCCUGCAUCUGAGUGCUGCACUGGUCCCCACCCUCUGCAUCAAACUGGUGCUGCUUUAUCAACAAGUGAGGGCAACCCAGCAGUUACGCCUCUGGAGUCCUGUGUGUUCUCAAACACAACUGCCUAAUUCUUUACACUGCAAUAAAAAGCUGAACUCCUUUCCCUACAAAAACCAGGCCAGAGAGUGGGAAGUGGGGGCUUGGAAAGAGAAAGAGAGUGGGCGAGAGAUUAAACAGCCUCUGGUAUUCAAUGCCUGUGGAUGACAGUUUCAAAAAUAUUUCUAGGGAUAUACUUGGCAGGCACUUGCCUGCAAUUUCCUUCUAGAUACAUAUAAACAGCAGAAGCACACAAACGGCCCCUUACUCAAAGAGAUAUAAUUAUCUUAAUUGUUGUACACGUACAAAGACGGUUUAAUAACUGCCUAGGGCACCUCUCCUGCUAGUGCCCCUUCCUCUUCCCCACACGCCAUGCGAUGUGUCCUCGCCACACAAAAAGGCCAGGCUAGAGCCUAGGCCUCUGGCACAAGAAGCUGAAGAGGUUUGUGUUUCCCCAGUCCUGUCACAGCACCUGCAGCCCUCAGUUUCAGACAUAGUCUUGGAAUCCCAGGAGAUGUAGGGGCUGAGUUCCCAGUGCUAUUUAAAGAGUUGUGAAUGCCUGUUUACUCCAAGAUCCUCUGAAAAUCCUGCAGUCACAGACCCACAAAAAAUAUUAACCAAGUGACAAUUUCCUCUAAUGUGCAGAGGCAAUUCCCCAGGGGAAAAACACUAGGUUACAAAGAGAGCAUAGACAGAUGAAGGGGAGACUGGGAAGCAGAAAAAUAAAAUGAUGAGAGGAAAGGCUUGAAAGAACAAAAACAGGGAGACAAGGGAGAGUACAGGGAACAAUGAGCAUACAAGCUGGAAAGGACUUUCAUUGUCUUGCUGUUGCUUUCUGCUUGGCUUUGAUACUUCUUUCUCUGUUUUUAUUUUGGUUUGUUUUUCUUUCCCUGAAAAUCAAUGAAACAUUUUUAUUUUGAGGGAGAAAGAACAGAGAGGUCUGAGGCAAAACGACUUCUUCUAGCUCUGUGGGAACUGUACACUGUCAACCCCUCCUGCUGCACUGGAUUUGACAUCAAGCUCGGGAGGGUGGCAGGGAGCAAGAGUGAGAGGAGGGUAGGGAAGAAGGAAUAGCAAAGGAAGGAAAGAACAAGGUGCACAGGCCUUGGAAGGAGGUCCUUGCAUGGGAGAAGGUAAUCAAGCAGAUGAAAAGCGCAGAGGAAGAGACUUGUUGGCCUGGCCAUGCAGCAGCAGCUCCAGGCUGGCUGAGGAAGCGCUUCAGCUACGUAGAGCAGACCUCCAGCACUGGCCGAGCUGCUGCUGCUGCUUCCUGAUGGCAACUUUAUCUGGGGAUAAAGAACAAAGGCAGGAGAGAAGGGGAAGGAAGGAAGCAGGGAGCUGCCUCCUGCCACCUUCUAAUAUCAAAUGGCUGCAGGACAUCAGCCUGAGAACCCUUUGAAGUGUGAGUCUUGUAAACUACUAAUGUGCUUUUUUUUUAUUUUUUAAAUUUAAAACAAACAAAAAAAUAAAUCAAACUAAUGUCAGCAUUGGGAAUGUGAGGCCAUAAUCCCUGAGUAGUAGCCAAGCCCUUCUGAGUCCAGCAGAAGAAUACCCAUGGCUUCCCACCUCUGGGCAGGGGUGGAAAGGAGAAUAGCUUUGCCCUUUGUGACUUUUUUCCCAAUCCCAAGGCUUUGCUAUGGUUUGCAAGCCUUGCCAAUCACCUGUAAUGCAAGCAACUGCAUCACCUCUAUAGCCCAGGCACACAGAACAGGGAGGCUAGUGAAAACAAGAGCCAGCCCCAGAACGAACUCCUUGGAGUACAGGCAUGUUUCAGCAGGGCAGGGAUUUCCCACAGGAAUGAUAGGUGUACGUUACUAAUGUGGGUAUUGGUUUAACUUUUUGAAUUAACCUGCCAUACUACUGCCACGCAAAUAAAUGCCAUAUGUUUGUACACAGGCUGAACUCAAUCAUAAGCUCAUAAUGCAAAUAAAAUCAUAAUGCAAAUGGCUGUCACACAGUAAGCCCUUGGAUAUACGUGCAAAAAGUACCAUUGCAAUUAGAAUGUGAGAUACUAAUUCAGAAAGUAGACUGAUAAUGAGUAAUUUGUUCACUGAAUUAACUAACCUGCUAGCUACACGAACAAAUGGUAAUUACAGGUAUCAUGAAACGGAGUCACACUGCAUAGCUGCACUAUAAUUAUAUUUGCUGUAUUAAAGUGUGACCCUGGUAUUACAAUGAGAAAUGAGAUGAAAAGCAGGAGAAAAAUCCCAGCUCAGGAUCCAGGCAGGUGGAACAAAGCCACAAUGGUGCGUAGAAAGCUACUUAUACUGACUUCAUAGCUCCCUGCCAAGGAUACGUGCCGCACACAUCUCCAGAGUGACAGAGCAAUCGCACAGAUUUGUACUGGUAUUGCACACACACACUGCUCUGGCUUAGCAGCAACCCUGGAAUCACUGCUUUGUGCCAUUACCAGUGACAGGCAAACUCCCUAACAGGAGUAAACUGUCAGUUGUACAAAUUCCAUAUUUUCCCUGCAGUAUAUUUGGUCCUGGCAGGCUUGUUGUUGAAUGCACAUACAUCAGGCUGGUGCCAAUGCACUCUCCUCCUCCUGGUCCAUUCUGCCUAAAGCUAAAGAGUUGGAAGCAAGAGGAGAGAUUGUUUUUGCUGGGUUUAUGGUUGCUGUGUUUUUAUAUAUUGCUUUUCAAGUUGCAAAGCUUGCUGAUUAGCUCUGCGACCUUUCCAGUGCCCAGUCAGCUCAGAAGAGGCAUGGGAAACACUCUGAGGAAAAGAGCUGGGAGGAAAGAAGGCAUGGGAAAGUAGCCGGAGGAAAAAAAAAAAAAAAA